rnacentral:rRNA from 1 species
GUCUUAGUUCGUGGAGUGAUCUGUCUGCUUAAUUGCGUUUCAAAUUUUUAACCGAGGACCGGGUUUUGGUUUGGCUAGUGGUCCUACGAUGACUGUGAACUGUCAUGUCUUCGGAUGUACGACUAUCGGUCUAGGAUCACAUGACUUGCCCCUGGGACUCUUUUGAACGCAACGGACGUGAUUGCAACCCCUUGUUGAGAUUAGAGAUAGUCUCGAUAUUCACUGGCCAAACUGGCUGCUUUAUGCAGUCUUGUUGAAUGGUGGAUAAACUCGGGGGACUGCUGACUAUAACCAUUUCUCAAAACAGAGGAAGGUUGCGGCAAUAACAGGUCUGUGAUGCCCUCAGAUGUCCCGGGCUGCACACGUGCUACAAUGAGUGGCGCAAUGUGCUAAUGUUUUAAGGGAUAAGCGUGCGGCCAGUAGAACGUCGGCAAUUGCCCUGGCGUCUUCUACCGCACGAUUAUCAGCCUUCCCUUAACAGGGCGGGCAACCUUUUCAAAAUACCGGUUUGAUGUUAAAGUAUAGAGUCGUUUUUUUUGGAUGGUGGUUUACGAACCAAUACCAUCCGCAACUGCUCGCGAGUUUGUGGUUCUGGUGACUCAUGGUGGGA